rnacentral:lncRNA from 1 species
GUGUGUGGGCAGAGAGUUUCGACGUGGUAAGUGAAGCUCCUUUUUGACAUUGUUCAUUCUUUGCAUAAGUGCGUGGUUCUUAGUUCGUGUAAGUUUUUGGAUGAUGAUUUAGUUAAUCAUUUUGGUGUGGGUGUGAUUUUUUUUUUUUGGAAAUAUUGUUUUUGGUUAGAAUCUUGAGACAAAUACUCCUCCAGCAACUUAGUUCUAUUUGGUGUUACGGGUUCUUCAAUCGGGGUAAGUGCCUAAAUAUUUUUAGGGGUCGAAUGUUGGUAUUUUUUAAUGGAAUUUUGAUUAGGUUGCGUGUAUUUAUGCUAAAUAUUUUCUUUUAA